rnacentral:rRNA from 1 species
GAUGAACGCUGGCGGCGCGCCUAACACAUGCAAGUCGAACGGUUAAAGCACCUUUUAGGUGUGUAUAAAGUGGCGAACGGCUGAGUAACACGUGGGCAACCUGCCCUCCUCUUGGGGAUAGCCUCGGGAAACCGAGGAUAAUACCCGAUACUUCAAUGUGGCCGCAUGACGACAUUGAGAAAGCUUUUGCGGAGAAGGAUGGGCCCGCGGCCUGUUAGCUUGUUGGUGGGGUAGAGGCCUACCAAGGCAAUGAUGGGUAGCUGGGUUGAGAGACCGACCAGCCAGAUUGGGACUGAGACACGGCCCAGACUCCUACGGGAGGAAGCAGUGGGGAAGCUUGCACAAUGGGCGAAAGCCUGAUGCAGCGACGCCGCGGGCGGGACGAAGGCCUUCGGGUUGUAAACCGCUUUCAGCAGGGACGAGGCGAUAAGUGACGGUACCUGCAGAAGAAGCCCCGGCUAACUACGUG